rnacentral:rRNA from 1 species
AUUGAACGCUGGCGGCGGGCCUAGCACAUGCAAGUCGAGCGGAUGAAGGGAGCUUGCUCCUGGAUUCAGCGGCGGACGGGUGAGUAAUGCCUAGGAAUCUGCCUGGUAGUGGGGGAUAACGUCCGGAAACGGGCGCUAAUACCGCAUACGUCCUGAGGGAGAAAGUGGGGGAUCUUCGGACCUCACGCUAUCAGAUGAGCCUAGGUCGGAUUAGCUAGUUGGUGGGGUAAAGGCCUACCAAGGCGACGAUCCGUAACUGGUCUGAGAGGAUGAUCAGUCACACUGGAACUGAGACACGGUCCAGACUCCUACGGGAGGCAGCAGUGGGGAAUAUUGGACAAAGGGCGAAAGCCUGAUCCAGCCAUGCCGCGUGUGUGAAGAAGGUCUUCGGAUUGUAAAGCACUUUAAGUUGGGAGGAAGGGCAGUAAGUUAAUACCUUGCUGUUUUGACGUUACCAACAGAAUAAGCACCGGCUAACUUCGUG